CCUACGGGUGGCAGCAGUGAGGAAUAUUGGUCAAUGGGCGCGAGCCUGAACCAGCCAAGUAGCGUGAAGGAUGACUGCCCUACGGGUUGUAAACUUCUUUUAUAAAGGAAUAAAGUGUAGCACGUGUGCCCUUUUGUAUGUACUUUAUGAAUAAGGAUCGGCUAACCCCGCGCCAGCAGCCGCGGUAAUACGGAGGAUCCGAGCGUUAUCCGGAUUUAUUGGGUUUAAAGGGAGCGUAGAUGGGUUGUUAAGUCAGUUGUGAAAGUUUGCGGCUCAACCGUAAAAUUGCAAUUGAUACUGGCAGUCUUGAGUACAGUUGAGGUAGGCGGAAUUCGUGGUGUAGCGGUGAAAUGCGUAGAUAUCACGAAGAACUCCGAUGGCGAAGGCAGCUUACUAGACUGACACUGACGUUGAUGCUCGAAAGUGUGGGUAGCAAACAGGAUUAGAUACCCGAGUAGUC
rnacentral:rRNA from 1 species